CCUCCUCCUCCUCCUCCUCCUCCUUUCUUCCUUCUUCCUUCUCCUCCUCCUCCUUCUUCUUCUUCAUCAUCUUGAUAGCAUAGGUCUAGAGUAUGAAUUAUUUAGAUGACCGUGUCCUGUCACAAUGUCAACAGUUUGGGCAAACCGUUUUGCGUUUGCAAUGGGGUUUGGGUAGUACUACCAUAUAUGAGGAAGUUGGUAAAUGUUGAUUAAAGACAUUCUUAAGCAUUUUAAUGUUGUAGUUUAUAAUAACAAGUUUAAAUGUGUGUUCAAAACCAUGGUAACUUGACUGUUGAGAAAACCUCUAAGUAUAAAGACCUGCUAAAUUCAGCAUUAAUUUUUUUUCAUUGGUUCAAAUCUCUGCUCUUGGUUUCAACAGUGUUCAUGUUUUCUAAAUUGUUAUAUUCCUGUGCGUGAUGAUGUGUAAAAAUAACAAGAUUCCAUCAUGGUGAAAGAACUAACAGGAAGAACAACAGAUGAAAAAUACCAAAUGGUGUUCUUUCUGAAUUCCUUUCCCACUAUAGUGCAGUCUUUAAAAUUGCUUUUCUAGCUGAACUUACUGCUGUUGAUAAAUGGGUACAAAGAUUAAAAACUCAUACUCUUAGAUAGUAAAGGCUGUAUAACUCACAGAAACUCGUAUCAUGCUCCAUGUGUGUAGGCGCUCAUGUUGUCAUAUGUAGGCUGACAUCACAGCUCAUCUUUUAAGUUACUAUGCAUUAUGCCUGGUGUUCUUUUUUUCCUGUGUCCUUUGUGUUAAAGCUUAUUUAUAACUUAGUUUGACUUUUGUUCAAGGUAACUACUGGGCUUUGAGUAAUAGGGAAACACGUUGCUUCAGGUGGAUUCCUAGGACAAGGAAAAAAAUAAAACAACUGUGGCCCAUCCACUUUAUGCCUGUUGACCUUUUUCUGUCGGGACUUCUUGAUCAGCUCUGAAAGGGAGAGCUGGUUGCAGCCUUUUCUGGGGGGAACCUGCCUGCUGUGAUGGCAGGUUCAAAUCAAGCCCAGGAGUGGCCUCUCAUCCUUCUGAGGUGGAGCUGCCAGCUUGCUGUAUGGCUGCCACAACAGUAACCCAGUGCUCGACUUGAUUGGUGAGGAUUUACAUGUGUGCUAAUUAGAGUGGAAUAAAUGAUUGGCUGUUUGCAGCAUUGCCAUAAAGGGUGCCCAGAUGUACACACUACAUGAACAUAAUGUGCCCGGGCACAGCGCAUCAAAGUUUGUCAGCUGCAUUACCUCAGCAAGCUUUGGGCCUGUCGCAGAGAAUUUGUUGAUAAUUGUCCCCUAUGAUUUAGUGUCUUUCUGGGUGAAAGCGAAAGACCUCAAAAUAAUGUCUUGGCAAGAGAAUUUCUAAUCCUUCAGGGAAAUAACAAAAUAUGCUUGAAUGUAACUGGGAGUAAUGAAUAGAUGACUUUAAGCUAUGUAUAUUCAAAUGUUGAUUUCUCAUGUUUUGAAAAUAUUUUCCAGUAAAACAAAUAAAAUAUCAAGUAAAUUGGCAUAAUUGAAUAAAUUUAAUCUUUAGGAAUUGCAUAAAUAUCACUCUUGUAGUUUGAAUUAAUCCACAUUAAAAUCACCCAUGCAUAUGUGUCUGAUGAGAGAUGUAAUGUGGGGGAGUGGACUGAAAAUUCAAAAGCAUAUUUUCUGGAACUGAAACUUUCCUCUGUAUACUUUGCAAAUCCAUAUCCUUUUUGCCAAUGUGAAGCUAAGCCCCAACGGUCCCUUGUUUGCGUUUAUGUGCAGUAACUUUGAUAUCUAACUAAGGUGAAAAGCAGUUUUUGAGUUAUACAUUCAUGGUAUUGAUAAUAUAUUAACUUACACUGAUUAAAUGGUUACACUGCCAUGAAAGUUAGGAGGGAGGGACAUUCUUCCAGCAUAGCUAGGCAGGAACAAAGCCAGCCCCUUACAGAGGUCGCCACUCAAUCUCUACUCCUCAGAGACAGGAGCCUGAUAGCAUUGAUUCUUUCUUUGAUACUGUUGCUGCACUUGAAUGACCCAAUACAGUUCAGUGAUAAGGUUAAGUUAAUUACGGUUUCUGUGCUGUGCAGCUCUCACUUGAUUACUGCUGAGGAAGAGUUUGAUGCCUUUUGCUUUAAUUAAGCAAAAGGGAAUGAACAGAUAUAAUUGGAUUUUGAAAUAAUCCUGUCACUAUCAGGAACAUCCUAUGUUUCCCCCAACUUGGUUAUAUGUACUUCUAGAAGCAAAAACCAGGAAGUGGAAUGAAAAUCUUCUUUUCCCUGUGCCCUGACUCAUUAUCAUAUGAUGUCAAUAUGAAUUUACCAACAGCUCAGGUAAUAUAUUUAAAAAAAUCUUGACAUGAAAAGUAAUCUUUUGGUAGCUUCAGUUUACAAUGAUGGCAGUUGUUCUGUAUGUUGAUAAAAGCCCACCUGUAACGUAAGUCACGAUGCAGCGCUGUAGCCUCUGCACGUGUCAUGCACACUUUAACUAGUUGGAAUUAUAACAGACUUUUAACUUUAAAGGUAUAGAACAGUAUUUUAAGUUUCUAUGCUUUUUUUGCAUAUUGCUUAUAUUCUAUUUAACUGAUUAAGUAAAUCAUGUGCAUUUUAUGCAGCUUAACAGAAAGGUGAAAACAAACCUUUACAAUCUUCUGGUCUGACAAGGUUUUACUUCCACUGGCACAAGUUCCACAAGUUUAUGCUCACUUGAAUAUUUUAUUUAGAAUUUUCAUCAAGCCAGGUUUUCCUUUUUGUGUAGUAGUGUAUGAUUAUCCAUGGUUUUCGUGUGUUUUUGUAAGGAGCAUAGCUAGGCCUGUGACUGCUGGUCUUUGAGAUGUUAGUACAGUUGCUGUGUCCCCUCUGUCCUGGCUAGAUGUCCAUGCCUUUUUCUUCAGCUCCCAUACUGCACACUGAUUUCAUCCACUGACACAGCUGUGCGCCUAACUGUGGGGUUGCCUACAUGACCUCUGCUCUGAGUAACAUUUUUAUAAAUACACUUCAUAGCCAUGCCUGCAUCAAAUGAUGUACAUUUUUAUAAAUACACUUCAUAGCCAUGCCUGCAUCAAAUGAUGUAAUAAAGACGCCUUUUAGCAUUAAAGAGCUUUGUCAUUUUUCAUAGUUUCUUCUUAUUACCCAAUGAGUGUUUCCUAAUGUUCACUUGUCUCACAAGUUGACAGUCAGUCACUGUAUCUGGCUUUUCUUUUCUACAUUUUGAGUAAACACAUGCAAUGUGAAUGGAGAGCGGAAAUCCUGGCCAUGGGGCAGUUAAGCUUAUGGAGCUCAGAUCUGAAGGGAUGGAAAAAAUCCCUUAUUUCACUAGUUAAUUGAGGAGUCUUUUGAGAGUAAGCUCCAUGCUAUUUUUCUCUAGUAUCCUGUGAGAUGAAACAGCAGUUUAAGAUGACCAAACAUGAGUUGUCCAUGCCCAUUUCUCAUGGUCGCUAUCCUAUGAAAAGAGCAGGAACCUUUAAAGUAAGUCACCUAAAAUCUACAUUUUGAGUAGUUUCCAAUCUUAAUUUUGUUUUAUUUAAAUAGUAAUCUUUUUACCCCAAGUCCCCCCAAGAUGUUCAUGUCACUGCUACACUCUGAAAGUGGUGACUAUGUUUUGUACAUGGCAGCAGGGGUUCAGAUUACUGUGGUCUUAAAGCCUGCUCUUUGCUGGACUGAAAGCAUGAGAUGAUCUCAGUCCAGCUGGCAUGAGCAAGGGGGUUUCAGUGUGGGAGACUGCCAGAGAGGAACACAGGGUGUUUGGAAAAACAAAACCCACCACUUGGAAGCUAGGGCAGCAGACCCUGGGCAGGUGGUUGGAAUGGCAUGUGGAAACCAGAGGGCAUAGGGAAGGUCCUCAAAGAGGACCAGAGGGCAUAGGGAAGGUCCUCAAAGAGGACCAGAGGGCAUAGGGAAGGUCCUCAAAGAGGACCAGAGGGCAUAGGGAAGGUCCUCAAAGAGGACCAGAGGGCAUAGGGAAGGUCCUCAAAGAGGACCAGAGGGCAUAGGGAAGGACCUCAAAGCACUACAGCUCCACUGAGGCUCUGAUUUUUAACUCUGGGAUGGACCUCUGAGCUACAGAUCUGUAAGAUAAUAUAUUUUCGUCUUGUUUUUAAAUCACAAAUUUUAUUCUCGUUUGUUGAAGCAAUCCCAGUAUAGUUAUCUGAAAAGUUACCCAUUUUGAUUACUUAAGGGUGAAUAAUAUUACUUUUUAUAAACUUAUCAUUAGUUAUGGUGUUUUGGCCCUGGUAUGCAUUGUUUAUAUGUCUGAUGUUAUGGGAAGGGUUUAGGUUUGACUACUUCAGGACAUAUUAUUCUGAGAAUAUGACAUUAACAAAUUUAAAAUGUGGUUAUUAUUACAAAGGUUAAAGUUAGAAGUCUAUGUUUCCCAGUUGACUCUCACAUUCUUAGGAACAGGUCCAUGUUUUAGCUCCCUUGCUUUUCUUCCUGGACAAUGAGACUUGUAUCUACACCAUCUUCAAGCAGGGGUGUAAUUUGUCUUCAAUACUGUGUGUGUGUGUGUGUGUGUGUGUGUUGUGUUGUGUACACGUGCGUGUGUACUCUUAGGGAAUUUGAUCUACUGACUCAGCAGGACUUAGUGUUCAGGUUAAGUAGGCACUGUUGGCUCCACUGAACAGAAGAGUGCUGUAAAUUAGUAGCUGGGAGGCCGGAGUGUGCCCUUGGGUUCUGUGGAGAGCGUGCAGAACUUCAUCCUGGUACGUGUUGAGUUUGCUUUUUCUGGACUUGGAAGAACAUUCAGAGGCCCUGAUUCCCUCCACUGUGGCUCUCUUUGUAGCCUUUUUUGGAAUGAGAUAGUUGUAGUUUCACAUUAUUUGCUUACUACCUUUCAAAAUUAUCCUGUUUGAACAUUUUAAGUUUGACUAAAACAAUUAUUCUCUAUGUUUCUUCUGCCCUGAAAUGCUUGCUCAUCCAUCAAAUUAAGUUCAUAUGAGAUGAAGAGUGUUACUGAGUGAUGUCUUUGUACUGGACACAGAGUCACACAUCACACUCCCUGCCUCCCUAAUCCUGAGUGACACCAGCCAUGCGUCUCCACACUAUUCUUUACAGGCUGUAACAGAGUAUGUGUCGAGAGCUGGUCUAACAUGGCAGGGGUGCCUGAAUUGGCCUGGGGAAGUCACAGAAAACACCACAGAAAUGAUGAGGACACAUGGCAGUUUUCUUUAUGCUUAUGAUAGGAAAGGGCAUCUUUGGCGGCAGUGUCAGAAGGCAUGGUUAUGAGAAGCAGCUGUCUUCCUGAUGUGCCUCUGGCUGGGCCUGAAGAGGAAACAAAGCUUCAGAAGACAGAAGGAGUCCCUGCAAUGCCUUGACUGCAGGACAUUGUCUUUGUUAAUGCCGCUUUGUCAUUGUGAACUUGUCAGCAGUCCCCAGAUCCUUCACACCUGGAGUUUGUUUGAGAAACUUUGUGCUGAGGUGGGCACAGUGGGUGACCCUGAUGAAGGUGGUUGGAGGACCCGGAAGAUAAGAGGGUAGAUAGAUACCUUUUCAUAUGGACAGGCCUGGGUGGGGGGUGCCUGCUGGAGGGAGAUGGGCUCAGAAGACUGCUUGGAGAAGACUGCUGGCUGCUUUGGAGAGAGGAUUGUGGCACGAAUCUGCUUUGGUGUCUGCUGAGAUUUUUUGGCCUGUGAGUUAUUGAGAAAGAUGUUGAGGUUGGGGGGGGGCAUUCAGGAGAAGUGGAGGGGCAGUGACCAGGAUGUAAAAUGAAUGAAUGAAUUAAUGAAUGAAUGAAUUAAUGGGGGAAAAAGAAUGGAAGUUGGAGAUUGUCAGCAGGAGUUUUUGGCUGUAGUUACAAAAGGAUAGAGAAGAGAGCAAUGUUCAGAAGAGAGGAGUAUCAGACAGAACAAGUAGAAGCCCAAGGAUGGGCACAGACUUCUCUCCCUUUGUCCAGGGGGCAUUUGAAAGGUUUGUUCUGCCCUCUUCCAUGCCAGGGUUUGGAACAGAGGACAUUCUUGCAAGGCCUGGUGUGUGUCUGACUCACUGACUUGCAUGGCAGCUCUAGGCUUCUCAGCAUGUGCUGUCAGGCUGGUCAUGUGCUUCUCAUCCUCUUAGAGGAGGGAAUGAGGGAUUUGGAGUAACCACACCAUGGCUCUUUAGAAUUUGUUAAAUGUAUAUUGAAUUAUCACUUUUGUAAUUCCUUUCUUUAAAUUAGGAAGUGACGACUGGAUGUAUUUAUAUAUACAGAAACCAGUACUGUUAUGCAUUUAUUAAAGUCCUAAGAUAAACUUCAGAUUUAUCCAGGAAAUUUUAACAUUUUAAUUUCUUUUUAUGUUUUAUGGUGAUAAUGUGGUUAAAACAGAGCUUCAAUUAAGUUAGAGAGAGAGAGUGAGUGUGUGUGUGUGUGUGUGUGUGUGUGUGUGUAUAGUUAUUUCUCAGAAUUUCCCCUUCAUUAAGCUUAGACAUUUGGAGUACUUGGCUUAAAUUGUUUUGCCCUGACACAUUUUCCAAGAAAUUUUAUUUUUAAUUUAGGGGAGAUCAAUGAAAGAGAAUUGUCUUCCCUUGGCCUUCUUAUGUCUUUACAGGAAUAAAACCAGAUAGAGCAUUACCCAAAUUUGAGCUACCUGUGCAAAGAUACAGUCUCAUAGAGAGCAGGCCCUGCUCUAACAGAACGUAGUCUCCUAUUGCUUUACUGUGGCUGGCUGUGCGGCAAUGACAGCUCUGACAAUAUUUGAAAUUUAGAACAAUUUGCACCAUGUGGACAUAUUGUUUCACAGUAGCCUUCGCAUUGGAGUACAGUGUUUAACACAGUGUAGCAGAAGGGAUGUUGUAAAGGCCAUGGCCGUGUGAGUUUCUUGGAAUUCUUGAAGUAGUUGGAGUUUGUAUGUUGACAGGAAGAAAUCCUAAGUACGCCUCAACAUAGAAGCUUGCUUCUGUCACUGCUGAGGUGAUGUCUACAUUUUAUAUACUAUAGAGAGACUUAUGGAAAAAGUUGUUUUCUCAUAUCAAAUGAAGCUUUAAAAAAUAAAUCUUAGUAGUUUGUUGUAAAGAUUUUGCAUCUGUUAAUGAAACAGAAUCAUCUAGACUGGUAGCUUCAUUGAAAAUGCGUAAUUGCAAAAUUAACUUGUCACGCACCCCACUCAGCAAAGUCACUUUCUCAUAAGUCUGUGGUCACAGUAUGGUUUUACAGUUCAGCAUCUGGCUCUGUGGGGUACUGAUGGCUUCUAGGAAGAAAUGUACCAGGGUGAGCAAUUAAAGGCAAAGUGACAGCAUAAAAUAUGAUCAUUGUGGUUAUCCGAAAGACACAGAUAUGAAAUUUGCAGAUCAUUGUCAUUUCUGUACCCGUAUUUUCUCUUGCUUUGUUAGCUUAAUAAUUGUAGAACAAUUUAUUUUUUCUUUGAAAAAGUGAGCAAGGCUGUUUUAAUUAUUCUUGUUCUUGUUUGUGUCUUUCUUCUUCAAUUGUGGCACUGUAAUUGUCAUAUAUAGUAUUAUGUAUCAACACUAUCAAAGGACAUGAUACUUUUAUAUUUAAAACAUAAAUAUUAAAAUAGAAAUUUAGUUGUUACUAAAAUUUCCUAUGGUUAUUAGCAUUUGUAUCACAUGGAGAUUGUAUGAUACUUGCCACCUGGAAAUGAGGGUUGCUCAUAGUUUCCUUCAUAAUGUCAGGUGUGUUUUGAAGUGUGCUUUACAGUAUCCUGUUAGGUAUAGAAUUCAUAGCCUGGCAUGAGGGCUUAGGUAUGUGGUGAAGACAGCAGGUGUUUCUGCUUUGCUUUCACUCGCAGAAACCUGCUUUAUAAACAGAAUUGUUAGGAUUCUGUUCAAACAGGCAAGAGCCUUGCCCAGGAUGCCAUGUUUGCUCAUGAGCCUCUGUGCUCCCUUUUAAGCAGGUGGCUACUCUCUACUCCUGGACAUUGCUGCCCACCUCUCCUGUCUACUCUGAGUCAUUUCUUCAUGUGCCAUGGGAAAGCUAGUGACUUUACCAUUUCAGGCCAAGGUCACUCUCUUGUACUGUAUUCAUACUGUCCCCUCUCCCAGAACAGACAUACACAUACACACGUUUGUAUGCAUGCAUGUUUGGACUUUGCUGUUAUGUUAAACAUAGCCUGUGUUUGCAGGUAUCUGCCUCAUUCACUAAGGUCCUGUGACUUCUCAGUAGUCAGUUGUGCAAUAUGGUCAGGCAUGCUGGGUCUUGCCACCCCAGGGUGGGAUUACAAUGUAUGCCACUAUGUUGCCUUUUCACCUGGGUUCUGAGGAUCAAAUUCCAUCCUUGUCCUUUUAAGGCAAGCACUUCAUAGUCUGAGCUAUCUCCCCUGUUCCGAACAUGAUAUUUUAAAGACGUAUGUACUGUCUCUCAUUUUGUAAAGUGAGUAUUUACUGCCCUGGUUCAGUUUUGGCACUUGUCAUUUUCAGCCGUGAACUCCAAGGUGAGACAGCUCUAAUGUGUGUGUUAGACGGUUGAGGUGUUUUUGUUUGCCUUCCUCAGGAUGCAGUUCAUGUUGUAUACAUUACAUUCAUGUCCAGGAACAACCAGUUCUGUUUUGCUGGCUGAGUAUCUUGAGGCUGUCUGUUUUAAGAAUGAGCCUUCUAUCCGGAUAUUUGUGCUUUCACAGUCACCAUCAAGUUAACUUUUUAUUUGAAAGUCUAGUUGGUGAAUCAAAAUGACAAGAACACAGAUUUCUGUAAAUGAGCUGUUGAAAUAAUAAAGACUAACAGGAUACGAGCAUGGCCUAGAAUUAUCAGCAUAUCUUACUUAUGCAAAGUGAGGUAUAUUACUUAUCUUCUUAUAGGCCAACCCCCCUCUCCCUGCCAGUUCUUUUCUGUGUUGUAAUAGUCAUCUUUCUGUAGAAUUUUGGAUUUUGUCCUGUUUAUUCAUUAAACCAGUGUACAGUAUCAUAGGUGUCAUGAUGCUUGUCCUCUUUCACCCGCUGUGUUCAUACUCACCUCCGGGAUUAUUUCCAUCUUAUCCUCCUGCGCAUCCUUCUUUCUCCCCUGCAGUCCCUCCUACUUUUGCCUUAUUAGUGGGUAAAUGUGCGCGCACAAACACACA